UGGUCCUUGAUGUGUAGGAUAGGUGGGAGGCUUUGAAGUGUGGACGCCAGUCUGCAUGGAGCCAUCCUUGAAAUACCACCCUUUAAUGGCUGGUGUUCUAACGUAGACCCGUAAUCCGGGUUGCGGACAGUGUCUGGUGGGUAGUUUGACUGGGGCGGUCUCCUCCUAAAGAGUAACGGAGGAGCACGAAGGUUGGCUAAUCCUGGUCGGACAUCAGGAGGUUAGUGCAAUGGCAUAAGCCAGCUUGACUGCGAGCGUGACGGCGCGAGCAGGUGCGAAAGCAGGUCAUAGUGAUCCGGUGGUUCUGAAUGGAAGGGCCAUCGCUCAACGGAUAAAAGGUACUCCGGGGAUAACAGGCUGAUACCGCCCAAGAGUUCAUAUCGACGGCGGUGUUUGGCACCUCGAUGUCGGCUCAUCACAUCCUGGGGCUGAAGUAGGUCCCAAGGGUAUGGCUGUUCGCCAUUUAAAGUGGUACGCGAGCUGGGUUUAGAACGUCGUGAGACAGUUCGGUCCCUAUCUGCCGUGGGCGCUGGAGAACUGAGGGGGGCUGCUCCUAGUACGAGAGGACCGGAGUGGACGCAUCACUGGUGUUCGGGUUGUCAUGCCAAUGGCACUGCCCGGUAGCUAAAUGCGGAAGAGAUAAGUGCUGAAAGCAUCUAAGCACGAAACUUGCCCCGAGAUGAGUUCUCCCUGAGACUUAGAGUCUCCUGAAGGAACGUUGAAGACGACGACGUUGAUAGGCCGGGUGUGUAAGCGCAGCGAUGCGUUGAGCUAACCGGUACUAAUGAACCGUGAGGCUUAACCUUACAACGCCGAAG
rnacentral:rRNA from 1 species